CACCCUACCUGGCUUCUCAGCUUAAGUUUCCUGAAUAUGUGAGAAAAAAAUUACACUCCAGUUGCAGUUCUACAUGCUAUACUCCUUUUGAACAACUCCCACAACUCUUAGAAUUCAAGACUCGCUGGAUUCGCAAAGUUUACAGAACUCACAAGCUCAUGCAACAGAUGACACCUAAUUUGAUGUCCAAAUUAAGCCCCGCCUUUUCUUUGAGUGGAGAUGAAAAGCGAGACAGAUCUCUGGAGGCUUUUCGUAGCAAUUGCCAGUUGCCAUCGUAAGGUUUAAGGAAGCAUAGACACAAGAGUAAAGAGUAUACCAGACCUGAAGAAAAUAACCUGGAUGAAGAGCAGUGACCCAGCCUUUGACCAUGCUUCUUUUGGUCUCUGGACUUAAAAACCCACUUCAAGGAGAAGUCCUCAUCACUCAUCAUACCAGCUUACAGGAAGGUGGCCCUAGACCGUCACUAUUUAUUCGAAAGGGACAAAGGCCAUUUCAUUGUCAAUGGCAUAGUCUGCAGGAUAAAGACCCAAAAAAUGUCUGAAGGGCAGGACUUGAACAGCGUCCUAACGACUAUGGCUAACAAGCUCCAGGUGCUCAAAGUGGACCAGGCAGCCAUGAAGGUGGAACUCGCUGAGACGAAGACACAGCUGGCAGCAGCAGAGAUGGUAAAGCCAAAGCCCGCAUGACCCCCGCCUCCUUCUAUUGUUCCUCUCUCGGAGGCAGAUGACAUAGAGUCAUACCUCGCGAUUUUCAACAGGACGGCCACUCGCAACCAGUGGUGGAGUGGGCAUCCAUUUUGGCUCCGUACUUGAAGGGCCCGGUGCAGCGGGCCUAUCAUGACCUUCCUGAGGAAGAACCCACCCAAUACGACCUCCUCAAGGCCGAGAUUUGCAAGCACUACGGUGUAACCUCCAGCCAGCAGGCAAGUUUGAGCCCAGCGGCUACAGCCCAGGCCUUGGAGUUCUGCGGCAAGAUCGGACGCUGGCCAUGGCCCGACAUUAACCAGGCUCACCAGGUGGUCGAGCAGGUGGUCAGCAGGGCAUUCGUUCACGCCAUGCCGGUCUACCUCUCCCAGCAGGUCCGGAGACAUCCUUUUAAGGAUAUGAACGGCCUUCUGGAGGUGCUGGAGCAACAACUGCCGGUAACCCAACUCGGUGAACCUGAGAAGCCAGCUUGCGGGGUCCAACAGGGACAUGUGGCCAUCCCAGAACCCACCCGUCAUGCUACGGAGACUCCGGCCAAACCGAGGAACAGGGCGCACGCCCCAAUGCACUGUUUUAAGUGCCGCGAGGUGGGACAUAUCGUCAACUCCUUUCCACUCAAUCUGGAGCCAAUGGACUGCAGCUGGGCCAAGGGUGAGAGGUACUGUGCUCUGUCUAAUCCUCUGGCAGUCACCAAUACGGGAGUGGUGUUAUUAAAUGGGCACUCGGUGGUAGCAUUAUUUGAUUCCGGGAGUAACAUUACCAUUAUUGCUCGCUGUUAUGUUUUAUCGUGAUGGUGGAGAGCUCCAAACACGAGAGUAACUUGUGUACACAGGGAGACCAGGUCAUACAGGUCCACAAAGUGCUUUAUAACCUGGGAAGGGAAGCCUAGAGAGAUGUUCGUCGCUGUAUUACCCGAGCCCCCCAUCCCAGUAAUACUGGGACAAGACUGGUCAGAAAGUAAUAGUGGUAGACCUGUCACCACUCCGAAACCUAUGCUGGGUCUGAUUAUGGAAGGGCAAGGGGCCCUCCCAGCUGCUCCCAUGCUGUGCUCCUCUGCAACUGUUGAUAACAUGGGUGAUCCAGGGGAGCCCUUUUUGACUACGGACCUCGCCCCAUAAGUACCACUGGAGGAGCUUCUGGGUUGGGACAGUGCUAACCCCAAUCCACUCACCGGCAUGGAAUAUCAAUUUCACUCCAUGCCGGCAUCCUUUUAAAGAGAACAGUGGAACAAUGAUUCCCUGAAGUUUCAGUGUCAGCUGAUUCUACUCCACCGGGACCUUACUUUGUAUUAGAUAAUCAGUUGUUGUAUCGAGUUGCGGAACACGAAGGUAAAAUGCGGUUGUUGUUAGUCCCACGUACCUACCAGCGGGAGAUGUGCGAACCAGCUUAUGCCCACCUCCUAAGCGCCAACCUUAGGGCCAAAAAAACACUGGAGAGAGUGAAACUCUCUCGGCUCGGGCCCGGGAUCAAAGAGGAGGUCCGACAUUUCUGUCGGCUGUCUUGCCCAGUCUGUCAGCUGUGUCAGAUACCCAGAAGGGAUUGCGCUCCUUUCGUCCCAAUUCCCCUUAUAGACAUGCCAUUUGAGUGGAUCGGUGUCAAUCUGGUAGGGCCCCUGGAACCUUCAACACGAGGUCAUAAAUAUAUAUUGGUGAUAGUCGACUCUGCAACUCAAUAUCCUGAAGCGGUUCCCCUGUGAGCUGCCAACUCAAAAAAUAUCGCACGGGGACUAGUAAGUCUUUUCUCCCGAGUCGGCCUACCGAAAGAAGUCCUUACGGACCAAGGUAUUCCCUUUACUUCAGAUACAUUCUGAACUCACCAAGUUACUACGCAUUAAGUAUCUCAGGACGUCGGUGUACCACCCCCAGAUGAAUGGGUUGGUGGAUUGGUUUAAUCAGACCCUGAAACAGAUGCUGCUCAAGGUAGUCAGAGCGGAAGGUAGGAACUGGGACCAACUUUUACCGCUAGCGCUUUUCGCUUACUGGGAGGUGCCUCAAGCCUCCACAGGGUUUUCCCCUUUUGAACUCUUGUACGGAUGCCAACCCCGGGGAAUUUUGUAUGUACUAAAGGAAAAUCGGGAAGCGGAGGCGCUUCCCUCCACUAACAUCCUAGAACAUAUCGCGCAGUUACGCAAUAGGCUAGAGAAAAUGAUAUCCCUCCUUAAAGAACACAUGUCUAGGGCUUAAGCAGUGCAGGCCCGGAAUUAUAACAGGAAUUCCUCCCUGCGCAAAUUUCAGUCAGGAGACUGCGUAAUGGUGCUUGUGCCCACUUCCCAUUCCAAAUUGUUGGCCCAUUGGCAAAGCCCAUAUGAGGUUAAAGAGAGAAAAAGGCUUGUGGACUAUUUGGUGAGCCAACCAAACUGUCGACCGAGUGAGAGGGUGUACCACGUUAAACUAUUGAAACCCUGGAGGGACAGGGAAGAACCACCUCCCUCCGGACCCUUCCUCUCCCUUUUCUCAAAGAAAAUCAGCCUUAACCUCGGCCACAAUUUGACUGCCCACCAGCGACAGGAGCUUGAGGGUGCAAGAUGGUCUGUCCUGGAAGUGGUCAGUGAAACACCAGGCCAGACCUUGCCGAUUCAGCAUGACAUUGUGACGGACCCGGGGGUGGUAGUCAGGGAACGGCCCUAUCGUCUCCUGGAAGUGAAACAUGCUAAGGUGGAGCUAGAGGUACAACGAAUGUUGGAUAUGGACAUCAUCGAAAAAAGCCAUAGCCCCUCGUCCAGUCCUAUCGUCCUCGUAUCUAAGCUGGAUUGCUCCUGGAGAUUCUGCAAUGACUUUAGGUGUUUUAAUCAGGUCUCCAAGUUUGAUGCCUAUCCUUUGCCCCUAGUAGACAAGCUCCUCGAGAGGCUGGGGAUGGCCCGUUAUCUGACUGCUCUUGACAUGACAAAGGGAUACUGGCAAAUUCCCUUAAUGGCAUCCCCGAGAGAAAAAACAGCUUUUAGCACCCCUAGUGGGAACUGACAAUACAGGGUCCUUCCCUUUGGGCUGCACGGGGCACCAGCAACUUUCCAGCAUCUGCUAGAUAGAGUGCUAAGGCCCCACCAGUCCUAUUGUGCCGCCUACCUGGAUGGCAUCGUCAUCUUUUCUGGCACCUGGGAGGAACAUGUGUUGCAGAUAUACACCAUCCUCCUGACAUUAGCGAAAGCUGGGUUGUGUAUCAAUCCCCAGAAAUGUUAUUUUGGGUUGAACAAAGCCAAAUAUUUGGGCUACCAUGUAGCCACAGUGUUCCAAAAUCAAAGACUUCCUGGAAUGGCCCCGUCCGAUAAUCAAGAAGCAGGUGCAAGCAUUCUUAGGACUAGUGAGCUACUACCACCGGUUUGUACGUCAGUUUUCUGAGAGAGCAGCACCCUUGACCGAUUUCACAAAAAAACGGGCCCCUUUUCAUGUGGUGUGGAAUAGUGUGAUGGAGCGGACAUUCAAUGAAUUAAAAGUGGCCAACAUGAUGGCAACUGUUUUGAGAACUCCAGACUUUUCUCUUCCUUUUCUCCUCCAGACCAAUGCUUAAGACACAGAUCUAGGUGUCGUGAUGAGCCAGAGCAUCGAUAGUGUCGAGCUGGAAACUGUUGGACUGGGAGACAAGAAAAGAUGAAGCGCUGCCACCAUAAUCCUCCCAGGACAACUCCUCAAAACGCAACACUUCUGGGUCCCUUUCUCCCCUCUGAAUCCUUAAAAUGUACGUCUACCCGCCCUUUAAUGUCAUGAUUUCUGUGAAAUAUUUGACCCAUUUUUGUUACAGUAUACAGGGCCACAAACCCCAAAACUUGAUGACAGUGUGUUUGUCUUUAUUACUAUAUAUAUAUAUAUAUAUAUAUAUAUAUAUAUAUAUAUAUAUAUGACUGGCAAGUCUAUUGUGCAUUGUGACUAGUCACUUAACCACAAUUUCUAAAAACUGCACAAUACACAAUUUAGAUGCAUACAUGUAACCAACAAGACGAGCACCACAAAAAGCAACUUUUCUAUGCCAGCUAUGUUGGAAUAUGUUUUCCUUUAAUGAAGGGUGACUAAUCAGGAAAUGAGAUGCUGUAAUGAGUAGGGUCCAAUGACAGAAGGACUACAUUUUCAGGAAUCUUCGUUUUUGCCAAUCCACACUGCAACAGCAUGCUGGUGUUUUUAAAAUUAUCUGUCACUGGAGAGCAUUUUCAGAAGUUUUAAUUUUCAUGGGUAAAUGUCUCUCAAAUGCUCUUCUAUUAAAUCCUGCAUUAACCUCGGAAAAUAUCGUCCUCUAUUGCUUUAGUACAGUGCUUCUCAAUUAUUUUCUGUCAUGCCCCCCCCUAGGAAGAAGAAAACAUCUCGC